CAUAGAGGGUGAGAAUCCCGUGAGUCGUUCGCCGUUUGUCACGUACGGUCUGCGUUCUAACGAGUCGCGUCUUGGGAUGGAGCGUAAACGGGUGGUAAAUUUCAUCCAAAGCAAAAUAUAUACUCGAGACCGAUAGCACAAAAGUACCGUGAGGGAAAGGUGAAAAGAACUUUGAGAAGAGGGUUAAAUAGUGCCUGAAAUCGUUGAGAAGGAAGCGGAUGCCGCCGUUGCAUAUGCUGAUUGUAGGAUUGCUGCUCGCUCCUGUCUUCUGCUACUCAUUCACAGACCUGGUCGUGUUGAGCAGUUGUUUGGCAGAUGUUAGUGGUGUUUCCUACUUUCAGUCGUCAGCAUCACUGGCUGAGUGGAAAUAAUCCUUGGAUGCUAAUUGGUUCGCUAUCUGUGAAUUGGUUGCUUCCUUGCGAUACUCACUACUCGGUCAGUGAGGAAGUGCGUUUGCUGGUCAACGAGCUUUCUAACUGUCAUUACCCUGCGCUUUUCGAUUCGUCGAGUGGCCAGGAUGUGGCUUUGAGAUUGUUCGCACUUAGUAAUCGCGAUGCUGGCUUCCAACGGUUGCCUCCGGCCCGUCUUGAAACACGGACCAAGGAGUCUAACGUAUGUGCGAGUGUGUGAGUGGCAAACUUAUACGCGUAAUGAAAGUGAGGCCGUAUGGCCAUGUUGGGGUCACCAACAACCGACCUUGAUCUUCGGUGAAAGGUUUGAGUAUGAGCAUAUCCGUUAGGACCCGAAAGAUGGUGAACUAUGCCUGAGCAGGGUGAAGCCAGGGGAAACUCUGGUGGAGGCUCGUAGCGAUACUGACGUGCAAAUCGUUCGUCAGACUUGGGUAUAGGGGCGAAAGACUAAUCGAACCAUCUAGUAGCUGGUUCCCUCCGAAGUUUCCCUCAGGAUAGCUAGAGUCUUUAUCAGUUUUGUCAGGUAAAGCGAAUGAUUAGAGGUUCCGGGGAAGUAACUUCCUCGACCUAUUCUCAAACUUUAAAUGGGCAAGAUCCAGUAGUUACUUAAUUGAACUAUUGGGGUCAAUGAGACGACUCUAAGUGGGCCAUUUUUGGUAAGCAGAACUGGCGAUGAGGG
rfam:Perkinsus marinus ATCC 50983 gcontig_1104296279684, whole genome shotgun sequence.